GGUUUGAUUCUGGCUCAGAUUGAACGCUGGCGGGAUGCUUUACACAUGCAAGUCGAACGGCAAAAUACACGACUUCAGUCUGCGUGGCGAGUGGCGAACGGGGUGAGUAAUGUAUCGGAACGUGCCUAGUAGCGGGGGAUAACUACGCGAAAGCGUAGCUAAUACCGGGCAGCGCCCAUUCUCCCGUGGAAAGCGGGGGACCUUCGGGCCUCGCACUAUUAGAGCGGCUGAUAUCGGAUUAGCUAGUUGGUGGGGUAACGGCUCAACCAGUGCGACGAUCCGUAGCUGGUUUGAGAGGACAAGACCAGCCACACUGACUGAGACACGGCCCAGACUCCUACGGGAGGCAGCAGUGGGGAAUUUGGACAAUGGGGGAAACCCUGAUCCAGCCAUCCCGCGUGCGAUGAAGGCCUUCGUCAAAGCACUUUUGGCAGGAAAGAAACGGCAUCGGAUACCCCGUGCAACUGACGGUACCUGCAGAAUAAGCACCGGCUAACUAUGUGCCAGCAGCCGCGGUAAUACGUAGGGUGCAAGCGUUAAUCGGAAUUACUGGGCGCAAGCGCGCAGGCGGUUCGGAAAGAAAGAUGUGAAAUCCCAGAGCUUAACUUUGGAACUGCAUUUUUAACUACCGAGCUAGAGUGUGUCAGAGGGAGGUGGAAUUCCGCGUGUAGCAGUAAAAUGCGUAGAUAUGCGGAGGAACACCUCGAUGGCGAAGGCAGCCUCCUGGGAUAACACUGACGCUCAUGCACGAAAGCGUGGGGAGCAAACAGAUUGAUACCCUGGUAGUCCACGCCCUAAACGAUGUCAAAACUGAAAUGCCAAACUUUGGCCUGGUAGCAGCUAACGCGUGAAGUUGACCGCCUGGGGAGUACGGUCGCAAGAUUAAAACUCAAAGGAAUGAUCAUAUCCGCCAAGCAGAUGAUGUGGAUUAAUUCGAUGCAACGCGAAAAACCUUACCUACCCUUGACAUGUCUGAAUCCCGAAGAGAUUUGGGAGUGCUCGUACAGAACCGAACAGGUGCUGCAUGGCUGUCGUCAGCUCGUGUCGUGAGAUGUUGCCGUUCCGCAACGAGCGCAACCCUUGUCAUUAGUUGCUACGAAAGGGCACUCUAAUGAGACUGCCGGUGACAAACCGGAGGAAGGUGUGGGAUGACGUCAGUCCUCAUGGCCCUUAUGGGUAGGGCUUUCACACGUCAUACAAUGGUCGGGACAGAGGGUCGCCAACCCGCGAGGGGGGAGCCAAUCCCAGAAACCCGAUCGUAGUCCGGAUCGCAGUCUGCAACCUGACUGCGUGAAGUCGGAAUCGCUAGUAAUCGCGGAUCAGCAUGUCGCGGUGAAUACGUCUGGUCCUGUACACACCGCCCGUCACACCAUGGGGAGUGGGUUUUACCAGAAGGGGCCAGCCCAACCGUAAGGAGGGCGAUUACCACGGUAGGAUUCAGACUGGGGUGAAGUCGUAACAAGGUAG
rnacentral:rRNA from 1 species